rnacentral:rRNA from 1 species
GACGAACGCUGGCGGCGUGCUUGAUACAUGCAAGUCAAGGAGAACAUUGUCUUCGGACAAUAAGUAAACUGGCGAACGGGUGAGUAACGCGUAAAUAACUUGCCUCAGAGAUUGGGACAACAUUGGGAAACCAGUGCUAAUACCAAAUAAUGCAGCGGGCUCCUUGGAGCAUUGUUGUUAAAGUAGGCUUCGGCUUACACUUUGAGAUAGGUUUGCGUCCGAUUAGUUUGUUGGUGGGGUAACUGCCUACCAAGACUAAGAUCGGUAGCUGGUCUGAGAGGAUGAUCAGCCACACUGGAAUUGAGAUACGGUCCAG